CACAAUCCCAAUUCACAACCAGCAAACUUCUUCACUCCCAAAUCCCAGAAUCUCUUCCUCUUCCUCUUUCUCAUCUUUGUCUUCAUCCUCCAUGCCUAUGAGCUUUCUUAGCCUUCGUCCUCAUUUAAUUUGCAUAUCUUUGCCAUAAUCUUUCUUCUCAUCAUCUUCGUCUUCUCCCAUCGUCUGUCUUGUUCCUGGUGGUUUAAAGCAACCACUUAUUGUCUUCGUGCUGAGCUCAUUGUUGUGGUGCACUUGAAGCAUCUCCCUCUUCGUAAUUGAACCCUUCAUAGUUUGUUUUUCGUUGCUCCAUCAGAAUUUAUGAUGAUUGGAAUUUUCUUUUUUGUGACGACCUCCCACUCUAAAUAAUGAAGGUUGGCUGGAGGAGAAGACGUCAGAUGAAUCAGAACUAAUUCGAGGUGGGAUCGCAAAUGCUCGCUGUGGCCAGUUCUCUACUGCCCCACCAGCAACGUCAUUAGAGUUGCUGACCUCUGGCAAUGGCGUGAUGCACUUUUCUAGGUCUUUAUACCUGUUCAAAGAAAUUAAAACAAGUGUCUGAGUUAUGAUGUAGGAAGAUGCUCUUUAUAGACAGGGAUGGAUCUAGAACUUAGUAGGUGGGAGGGGGCCAAAGUGAAAAUAAAAUAAAGAAUGGGGGCUACAAUCUAAUGUGAACUAUUUUGCAAGUGAAAAAGAUAAAUACCAAAGGCUGUAUGAUG